UGUGUGUUUCUGUCUGAUCCUGUGUAUGUGACUAUCUGCCUGUGACUAUGUGCAUGUGGUGGAUUUGACAGUGUAUAUGUAUAACUGUGUGCAUCUGACUGUGUGCACAUAACUCUGCAAAAAUAUACACCUGCAUUCACACACAGGCCUAAAUGCAUGUUUUUAUCUGAAUUAAAUAACCAUCACACACAGCCAAUAAACCCAGCACAAAUAUCACAUACAACCAAUACACGUAUAUCACACACUGUUAAUACACCCAUUACAAAUAUCACACGCAGCCAACACAUAGCAUACAUAUCACACACAGUCAUCACAUCUAUCACAUACACAGACAACACAAACAUUACAUAAUACAUGGAUGACGGGGGCGUUGUGAAGAUUUU